rnacentral:rRNA from 1 species
UAUCCUACGGGGGGCAGCAGUGAGGAAUAUUGGUCAAUGGACGCAAGUCUGAACCAGCCAUGCCGCGUGCAGGAAGACGGCUCUAUGAGUUGUAAACUGCUUUUGUACGAGGGUAAAUACAGGUACGUGUAUCUGUUUGAAAGUAUCGUACGAAUAAGGAUCGGCUAACUCCGUGCCAGCAGCCGCGGUAAUACGGAGGAUGCGAGCGUUAUCCGGAUUUAUUGGGUUUAAAGGGUGCGUAGGCGGUCCGGAAAGUCAGCGGUAAAAGCCCGGGGCUCAACCCCGGCGAGCCGUUGAAACUGUCG